UACGGGGGGAGCAAGCGUUGUUCGGAUUUACUGGGCGGAAAGGGCGCGUAGGCGGCCUCUGCAAGUCGACUGUGAAAUCUCCGGGCUUAACCCGGAAAGGUCAGCCGAUACUGCAGGGCUAGAGUGCAGAAGGGGCAACUGGAAUUCUCGGUGUAGCGGUGAAAUGCGUAGAUAUCGAGAGGAACACCUGCGGCGAAGGCGGGUUGCUGGGCUGACACUGACGCUGAAGCGCGAAAGCUAGGGGAGCGAACGGG
rnacentral:rRNA from 1 species